rnacentral:rRNA from 1 species
CCUACGGGUGGCAGCAGUGAGGAAUCUUCCUCAAUGGACGAGAGCCUGAAGCAGUCACGCAGCGUGAAGGAUGACUGCCCUAUGGGUUGUAAACUUCUUUUAUAUGGGAAUAAAAUGCUCCACGUGUGGGAUUUUGUAUGUACCUUAUGAAUAAGGAUCGGCUAACUCAGUGCCAGCAGCCGCGGUAAUACGGAGGUUCCGAGCGUUAUCCGGACUUAUUGGGUUUAAAGGGAGCGUAGGUGGAUUGUUAAGUCAGUUGUGAAAGUUUGCGGCUCAACCGGAAGAUUGCAGUUGAAACUGGGAGUCUUGAGUACAGUAGAGGUGAGCGGAAUUCGUGGUGUAGCGGUGAAAUGCUUAGAUAUCACGAAGAACACCAGUUGCGAAGGCGGUUCACUGGACUGCAACUGACGCUGAGGCUCGAAAGUGUGGGUAUCAAACAGGAUUAGAUACCCGGGUAGUC